rnacentral:rRNA from 1 species
CAGUAGCCGCGGUAAUACGUAGGGUGCAAGCGUUAAUCGGAAUUACUGGGCGUAAAGCGUGCGCAGGCGGUGUUGUAAGACUGAUGUGAAAUCCCGGGCUCAACCUGGGAACUGCAUUGGUGACUGCAACGCUGGAGUGCGGCAGAGGGGGAUGGAAUUCCGCGUGUAGCAGUGAAAUGCGUAGAUAUGCGGAGGAACACCGAUGGCGAAGGCAAUCCCCUGGGCCUGCACUGACGCUCAUGCACGAAAGCGUGGGGAGCAAACAGGAUUAGAUACCCCCGUAGUCCCUGUCUCUUAUACA